rnacentral:sRNA from 1 species
UCAUUUCGGUAGGUGAGGUUACCACAGGGAUUGGGAUAUUUGACAUGCUUCAAGCAUUCGAUAGGACCCGGAGAUUGCUGCCGCGAGAUUGUGGAGACACGAUUAGUUGGUCAGCAGGCUGUGUCGAGAAGGCACAACCUAAUGCAAUUGAUAUGCCCUGUGAUACUAAAGCUUGAACGAUGC